AUAAAAUUGGAAGUUGUGCUACUGUAAUAUAUUCUUUCUAAAUUAUACAAAAAUUUUAAUGUAAUGUCUAUGUUUUUCCAAUGCAGCUUUAAUGCACUAAAACAUUUAUUUAAGAGGUUCUAUGUCCUUGUUAAACCACAUAAUGGAGACAUUCUUACCAGAUUGAGUUCCACGUGAUAUUUAGUCAUGUGCCUGAAAGGCCUCAACCAUCUCAAGCCAAAGAGUCCAACAAUCACCUGUUGUCAUUCCACAUCUCUAAAGUGUGAAAAAGAUGUUGCUCUAAGCACCUACAUUAUGUGUCUAUUUUUCCUACCUUGUUCUUGGAAUGACUGAAAUCAGAGACAAUAAUUGGGCACGUUUGAAAGGAGAUCGGCCUUGAUUAUUUGAAUAACAAAACCAUGCACAAGCUCAUAGACAGAGGGUAAAGUGGCUAUCACACACACACACACACACACACACACACACACACACAUACAUUCAGGUAACAGGUGUAAGUGAAUAUUUCAGCCCAUAACCCAGAGGUUUUUCCCAUGCUCACACCUGCUGCCAUCACCUGAGGGCCGAGAGCCCCAAAAAGAGCAAAGGAAACAGGUAGAAAGAUGG